UGGGGAAUUUUGGACAAUGGGCGAAAGCCUGAUCCAGCAAUGGCGCGUGGUGUGGAAGAAGGCCUUACGGGUUGUAAAGCACUUUUGUCCGGGAAAAGAAAUCCUUGGCUCUAAUACAGUCGGGGGAUGACGGUACCGGAAGAAUAAGCACCGGCUAACUACGUGCCAGCAGCCGCGGUAAUACGUAGGGUGCAAGCGUUAAUCGGAAUUACUGGGCGUAAAGCGUGCGCAGGCGGUUUGCUAAGACCGAUGUGAAAUCCCCGGGCUCAACCUGGGAACUGCAUUGGUGACUGGCAGGCUAGAGUAUGGCAGAGGGGGGUAGAAUUCCACGUGUAGCAGUGAAAUGCGUAGAGAUGUGGAGGAAUACCGAUGGCGAAGGCAGCCCCCUGGGCCAAUACUGACGCUCAUGCACGAAAGCGUGGGGAGCAAACAGGAUUAGAUACCCUGGUAGUCCACGCCCUAAAACGAUGUCAACUAGUUGUUGGGGAUUCAUUUCCUUAGUAACGUAGCUAACGCGUGAAGUUGACCGCCUGGGGAGUACGGUCGCAAGAUUAAAACUCAAAUGAA
rnacentral:rRNA from 1 species